rnacentral:rRNA from 1 species
AAGUCGAACGGUAACAUUUCUAGCUUGCUAGAAGAUGACGAGUGGCGGACGGGUGAGUAAUGCUUGGGAACUUGCCUUUGCGAGGGGGAUAACAGUUGGAAACGACUGCUAAUACCGCAUAAUGUCUUCGGACCAAACGGGGCUUCGGCUCCGGCGCAAAGAGAGGCCCAAGUGAGAUUAGCUAGUUGGUAAGGUAACGGCUUACCAAGGCGACGAUCUCUAGCUGUUCUGAGAGGAAGAUCAGCCACACUGGGACUGAGACACGGCCCAGACUCCUACGGGAGGCAGCAGUGGGGAAUAUUGCACAAUGGGGGAAACCCUGAUGCAGCCAUGCCGCGUGUGUGAAGAAGGCCUUCGGGUUGUAAAGCACUUUCAGUUGUGAGGAAAAGUUAGUAGUUAAUACCUGCUAGCCGUGACGUUAACAACAGAAGAAGCACCGGCUAACUCCGUGCCAGCAGCCGCGGUAAUACGGAGGGUGCGAGCGUUAAUCGGAAUUACUGGGCGUAAAGCGCACGCAGGCGGUUUGUUAAGCUAGAUGUGAAAGCCCCGGGCUCAACCUGGGAUGGUCAUUUAGAACUGGCAGACUAGAGUCUUGGAGAGGGGAGUGGAAUUCCAGGUGUAGCGGUGAAAUGCGUAGAUAUCUGGAGGAACAUCAGUGGCGAAGGCGACUCCCUGGCCAAAGACUGACGCUCAUGUGCGAAAGUGUGGGUAGCGAACAGGAUUAGAUACCCUGGUAGUCCACACCGUAAACGCUGUCUACUAGCUGUGUGUGCCUUUAAGGCGUGCGUAGCGAAGCUAACGCGCUAAGUAGACCGCCUGGGGAGUACGGCCGCAAGGUUAAAACUCAAAUGAAUUGACGGGGGCCCGCACAAGCGGUGGAGCAUGUGUUUAAUUCGAUGCACGCGAAGAACCUUACCUACACUUGACAUGCGAGACUUUCCAGAGAUGGAUUGGUGCUUCGGGAACUCUGACACAGGUGCUGCAUGGCUGUCGUCAGCUCGUGUCGUGAGAUGUGGGUAGUCCCGCACGAGCGUACCCUGUCUAGUGCAGCAUUAGUGGACACUCUAGAGACUGCGUGACAAUCGAGAGGUGGGACGACGUCAGUCAUCAUGCCUAACUGUAGGCUUACCACUGCUACGAUGCUACGACAGAGCAACAAGUCGGAGGCAGCAUUCCAAAAACCGUGGGGUCGCUUUCGUUCCG